GAUGUCCUGGGCCGCACGCGCGUUACACUGAUGCACUCAACGAGCAUAUAACCUUGGCCGAGAGGCCUGGGUAAUCUUGUUAACUUGCAUCGUGAUAGGGAUAGAUUAUUGCAAUUAUUAAUCUUGAACGAGGAAUUCCUAGUAAUCGCGGUUCAUCAAACCGCAAUGAUUACGUCCCUGCCCUUUGUACACACCGCCCGUCGCACCUACCGAUUGAAUGGUCCGGUGAGGACUCGGGAUUGUGGUUUGGCUCCUUCAUUGGGGCCUGACCGCGAGAACUUGUCCGAACCUUAUCAUUUAGAGGAAGGUGAAGUCGUAACAAGGUUUCCGUAGGUGAACCUGCGGAAGGAUCAUU
rnacentral:rRNA from 1 species